ACGGCAUUGAGUGCUUGCACUCUUUGGACGUCGACCGGCGCACGGGUGAGUAACGCGUAUCCAACCUUCCCAUUACUGUGGGAUAACCUGCCGAAAGGCAGACUAAUACCGCAUAGUCUUCGAUGACGGCAUCAGAUUUGAAGUAAAGAUUUAUCGGUAAUGGAUGGGGAUGCGUCUGAUUAGCUUGUUGGCGGGGUAACGGCCCACCAAGGCAACGAUCAGUAGGGGUUCUGAGAGGAAGGUCCCCCACAUUGGAACUGAGACACGGUCCAAACUCCUACGGGAGGCAGCAGUGAGGAAUAUUGGUCAAUGGACGGAAGUCUGAACCAGCCAAGUAGCGUGCAGGAUGACGGCCCUAUGGGUUGUAAACUGCUUUUGUAUGGGGAUAAAGUUAGGGACGUGUCCCUAUUUGCAGGUACCAUACGAAUAAGGACCGGCUAAUUCCGUGCCAGCAGCCGCGGUAAUACGGAAGGUCCAGGCGUUAUCCGGAUUUAUUGGGUUUAAAGGGAGCGUAGGCUGGAGAUUAAGUGUGUUGUGAAAUGUAGACGCUCAACGUCUGAAUUGCAGCGCAUACUGGUUUCCUUGAGUACGCACAACGUUGGCGGAAUUCGUCGUGUAGCGGUGAAAUGCUUAGAUAUGGCGAAGAACUCCGAUUGCGAAGGCAGCUGACGGGAGCGCAACUGACGCUUAAGCUCGAAGGUGCGGGUAUCAAACAGGAUUAGAUACCCUGGUAGUCCGCACAGUAAACGAUGGAUGCCCGCUGUUGGUACCUGGUAUCAGCGGCUAAGCG
rnacentral:rRNA from 1 species